rnacentral:lncRNA from 1 species
UUCAUUAACGCAUAGAAUAUUGAUAACCUAAAUAUUAAUCACUAGAAAUGAUUGAGAUUAUUAGCAAUUUGUUAUAAAUACUAAACUCAUUAUAACUCUCCGUCACUUCGGUGAGCAUUGUAGAUACGAAAAAAAAAAUAGUCUCCUUUCUCUAGGUAAAACCAUUUUCUCUUCUAUAAUUGUUUCAAAUAGGAUGGAUCGAAGCACGCAGCUCCUCGACAUGAUCCCCUCAAUGGAACCAGAGGUUUAGUGCGUAACAUCUUAUCUAUUUUUUUUCUUAUUUAUUUACUGAUCAUGUAUAUAUAUCGAUAUUAUUGAUUGAUUUGCAUUCAAUUUUUUUAAAAGGUACGGUAGAUAACUUUUUUGGAAUAGCAUAUAA